UAUAUACUCCCUCCGUCCGAAAAUUCUUGUCUUAUGUUUAUAUAGAAAUGGAUAUAUCAAAAUACUAAAACGUGACUAAUACAUUCAUAUCUAGACAAAUUUAAGACGAGAAUUUUGGGACGAAGGGAGUAGAAG
rfam:Hordeum vulgare subsp. vulgare, WGS project CAJW01000000 data, contig: morex_contig_283734